rnacentral:rRNA from 1 species
AAGUGGCCCCCCGGUUAAUUACCCCUGGAUUAUCCUCCUUUCAAAACGGGAUUACCGGUUGAAACCGCCCCCUAUUCCCGAAUCCCCUUUUUUUUUUACCUUUUUUUAGAAAUUAUUACCCCCUCUUUCCAGCUUUUGGUUUGAAAAUAAUCCCCCUCCCCUUUACUUAUUUGGGAAGGUAAAACCUCCCCAGGGCACCAUUGGUUACCCUUUCUAAAAGAAUAUUCGCCCCCCUUGAACUUGAACCCCGGCCCAAAUCCCUCCGGAAGGCACCAUGGGGAAUUUUUGCCCAUGGGCCAAAACCUUACCCCACCACCCCCCCUGGAGGAAUAAAGUUUUUCGAUUCUUAACCUUUUGUCAAAGGGAAAAAAUGUUUUUUUUUCAAUUAGGGAAGGCUUUUAACGGUCCCUUCAAAGAAACCCCCGCUUAAUUCCUUCCCACCACCCCCGGUAUUCCGAAGGGGCCAACCUUUAUUGGAAUUUCUUGGGGUUAAACCCCCCUUAGUUGUUUUUUUAAUUCGGGGUUAAAUUCCCCCCGUUCACCGGGGAACCACCUUUGAUUAUUCCUUCAUUGGGUUUUGGAGGGGGGGGGGGAAUUUCCGGGGUUGGGAUUGAAUUCGUUGAUUUUUGGAAGGACCCCGGUGGGGGAGGGGGCCCCCUGGGAGGAAAAUUGCCAUUGGGUUGGGAAACCUUGGGAACCAAAAAGGUUUGAUUCCCUUGUUGUUCAUGCUGUAAACGAUGGGUGCUAGGUGCUGGGGAGAUAAAUUUUCAGUGCCGUAGUUAACGCGUUAAGCACCCCGCCUGGGGAGUACGGUCGCAAGGCUGAAACUCAAAGAAAUUGACGGGGGCCCGCACAAGCGGUGGAGUAUGUGGUUUAAUUCGAUGCAACGCGAAGAACCUUACCCAGGCUUGACAUCCAGGGGACCUCUAGGAAAUUAGAGGGUGCCCUUCGGGGAGCCCUGAGACAGGUGCUGCAUGGCUGUCGUCAGCUCGUGCCGUGAGGUGUUGGGUUAAGUCCCGCAACGAGCGCAACCCUUAUCUUUAGUUGCCAGCGAGUAAAGUUGGGCACUCUAGAGAGACUGCCCCGGUUAACGGGGAGGAAGGUGGGGACGACGUCAAGUCAUCAUGGCCCUUACGCCUGGGGCUACACACGUACUACAAUGGUGCGCACAAAGGGAAGCAAGACCGUGAGGUGGAGCCAAUCCCAAAAAACGCAUCUCAGUCCGGAUUGGAGUCUGCAACUCGACUCCAUGAAGUCGGAAUCGCUAGUAAUUCGAGAUCAGCAUGCUCGGGUGAAUGCGUUCCCGGGCCUUGUACACACCGCCCGUCACACCACGAAAGUUGGUUUUACCCGAAGCCGGCGAGCUAACGAGCAAUCGAGGCAGUCGUCUACGGUAGGUCCGAUGAUUGGGGUGAA